UCUUCCACUUGGGGAAAGGCUCGGGAGAAAGAAAGGAAGAAGCAGAGGGCAGGUGGAAGGAGAAACUGAGGUGCGGAAAAGAGAGAAUAAGAUCGCCUCUGAGGAGAACUGGGAGAUGCUCACAGGGUUAAGGAGUCCACUCGUUCUCAAUGUCUUUCCCAAUUCCCGUCUCCAUCAGCAGGAGCCUCCAGACAUUUGCGUCAAGAUUUCACCUCAGUCGGGCACAUAGUCGGGCACCACCCUGGGAGUGGACCGGUGAGCUGGGUCUCUUGCAGCCAAGCUGUGCUGGGUCCAGGUAACCACAUGGAUCUCUUCCUUCUGUCCCUGUUCUCCACGGUCUCAUGUGAUCCUGGCUCACAUGAUCCCAGUGCCCUGUUCCCUGUGUCCUCUUUCCUCCAAGUUCAUUCUAAAAUCCAGCCAGCUCCCUGCAGUAGCUCCCCAUCACCAGCACUCCUCGGCCUGGAGCAUCGUCAUGGCACUGAGGGGCCUUCCUUCAGCUCCUCAACCUCUCCUUCCCUCCCCAUCCUCUGUGCUCUGGUCAGCCUGGCCACUGCCCCUCAGCCAGACAUCACCAAGCUGCUUCCCCUUUACUGAGCCCUCUCUCCAAACACAGCAGUGUCAUGGCUCAAUCCACAGUUCCAGGGCGGACCCCCAUGAUCUGUGUCCAGUGAGCUACUUUGUUGAGAUGUGCUUAUGACACACCUGGUGUGUGUGUGUGUGUGUGUGUGUGUGUGUGUGUGUGUGUAACAAGUGUGUACAGUAUCAGUGUUCAAGGCUUCUAAAGCUUUUCUUAUAGGUGAAUGCUCCAAUCUUCUCCACAAACCUCAGAGUCAGGACAGAAGCCCACAGGCUGGUGACAAGUCUCAGGUCCCUCUGCCGGUAAAUGGCAGUCUAGCUUCUGUGCCCUCAGCAGGACCCUGUUAUUGAUUACACGGUGUCCUGGAAGUGAAACAGAUUCUUCCUCCCCCAGCCCCCUUUUGCUGUGCAAUGGCGUCCCCUCUGCCCACUGUUCUCCUUCCUGUGUCCCCUUUUGCUCUGAGACAAGGUCUCACAUGGUUCAGGCUGGCUUUGAACUCACUAUGUAGCCAAGGGUGACCUUGAACUUCUGAUGCUCCUGCCUCUCCCUCCAGAGUGCUGGGUUUCAGGUUUACACAACACCUCUAGUUUGUUUGUUUGUUUGUUUUUAGUUUUUUCCAGACAAGGUUUCUCUGUAUAGCCCUGGCUGUCCUGGAACUCACUUUGUAGACCAGGCUGGUCUUGAACUCAGAAAUCCACCUGCCUCUGCCUCCUGAGUUCUGGGAUUAAAGACGUGCGCCACCACGCCCGGCCACACUUCUAGUUCUGAUCCCCGUGGUGCUGGGGACCAAAUCUGGGGCUGCACAGAUGCUGGGCAAGCACUCUUCCACAUGAGCCACAUCCCUAGUCCCACCCUUCAAGCUCAUUGAGAACGUCUUGUGAAUAAACAGACUUGAAACUGGACCAGAGAGGGCACUGCAGGGCCUUUUUUUUUCCCCCUGAGGAGAGUUCCCAUCCAAACAUUUGAUUGGUCCCUACGGUCUUUCAGCUGCUUGCGUGGCAGAAGACACAGGCCAGGGAGCUCCUGGGCCUCAGCUAUAUCCCCUCUCAAAUUCUUCUGUCAGCUCAUGGUCUCUGCAGGCUCCACCCUGAGGCCGCAGUCCUCUCUCUGGACACCUGCAUCUGCCCAGCUCGUCACCUGUCAAUCAUCUUGUCUGUCUGCUGACCUGAAUCCACCUGCCCCUGCUACCCAUCCAUCAGCCUGCCUCAGCCUGUCCACCUCAGGUCCCUGUCUGCCUGGUGUUUGUCACUCUGCCCAUCAAAUACAUGGUCCACCUCCCAACCCUGGUCUGCUAUUCUUCCAACAGUCCAGUGACAGCAAAGGUGGGGGGAGGCCUUGGUGGUUACCAUUGCCUGAGCCAGCUGAUUCUUAACACUACAGCUUGCCUUUCCAGAGUCCAAAUGGCCCCCUGGCUCCCGGCACCCUCCUCAUUCCCCAGAGGCCCUAGCCUUGCUGGGUCUAAAGGUUUCUACUUAAGGAAUCAGGUCAGAGCCAUAUACCUCCUUCUGCCAAAAAUGUCCAAGCAGUCCCUGAGGAAAUCACUGGACACUAGCGUGAAGACAUGUGUACAAGGAUGCUUGUGGCAGAAUUGUUUGUAAUAGCAAAGCGUUGGAAGCAACCCAAGUGUCCAACCGCGGGGGCUGGACGCGUGAAUUAUAGACAGCCACACAAUGGCGGGCUGGGCAGCUAUUAAAAAAUGGUGAUGUGGACGUCUAUUCAUCGAAAUGGCAAAAUGCUCACAGUACACUACACAGUCACAAGGCAGGCUACGGAGGCUCAUGUGCAAAGUGUUUUUAUUUCUAUUUUUAUUUUUAUUUUUAUUUUAAAUCUAUGUCAACAAAAACACGUACCGAAAUGGUGACCAAGGGCCAGGGGGAUCAUGGUUAAUUAAAAACGCCUUCGUGGAUAAGAAGACACACAGAUGUAUGUAUGUGUAUACAUUUACACCCACACGAAUACAUUCUUCCUAGGAGCUAAGCCACAUGGUCUGCCCUGUGUAUCUCCUCUCUUCUCCCAGGCUCUCAGGAGCCACGUUAACUAAAGGGAUUUCCUAGAUGAGGGGACAGAGGGUCCCACAGGGGCAGCGGUGGGACUUAGCUGUAAGCUCAGCUCUCUUGGGCUCCAGGGUCAGGAUUCUUAGUCAGCAACUUACUGUUUUCACUUUGUUCAUCUGAGACUCAUCUAUUUAAGACGAUAUAUAAUAUCUAAGAAUGGAGAAGUAGCCCGGUUAGUAGAGUAUUCGGCUAGCUUGCAUGAAGCCCUCGGUUAGCUUCCCAAUACUGCAUAAAGCAGGCAUGGUGGCUCACGCCUGCAAGCCAGCACUCAGGAGGCAGAGGUGCAGGGAACAGAAGGCCAAGAUCGUCGUCAGCUACAAAGCAAACCUGAUAUCAGCCCGAGACACAUGAGACCCCGUCUCAAAACAGACCGGCGACAGAACAUCCCAGAGCCAGCAAGAUGGCUCAGCAAGUAAUAGACCCUCGCUUCUCAGUAAAGACCCUCGCCUCUCAGUAAAGACCCUCGCCUCUCAGUAAAGACCCUCGCCUCUCAGUAAAGACCCUCGCCUCUCAAGCCUGACCUCCUGAGUCCAUCCCCGGAACCUAGAAGAUGGAGGAGAGAGCUGACUGCACAAAGUUUGCCUCUGCCCUCUACCUGCAUGCCAUGGCACGUGUGCCCCCCCACACACACACACGCACACACACACAAACAUACAAUAAUGAUGAUGAUGAUAAUAAUACAUGAUCUAUUGAAAAACAAAUGCCAGAAAUGAACAAGGCAAGGACAAGGGGCUGGCGAACUUUAGGCCGGGCGGCUGCCCUUGGCCUCGGAGCUGUGGCUAUCUCCCCGUGCAGGAGCCAUAGGUGUGCUGGCUCCCACACUGAGUGGCUCUAAGCCCCUCCCUAAGCCCACACUUGAUGCAGCAGAGGCAGGCUGGCGGUGUGCCACAUGCCAGGCUCCACACCCAGGAGACAGAAGGAAAUGUCCACACCAGCCUCUGUGGAGUCUCCCUCCAUGCGUGGGCCCUCUAUGUACUGCAGGCUUCUCCGUGGUUGGAGUGGCCAGGGGUGGGGACAUCCUGCCGGUGGUAGGUGGCUUGGCACUGUUGUCAGUGACAGCCUUCACCCACCGGGUGCCAGAAAUGGCCUCUGACCCGGAUUCAUUUCUAGACAUCACCCAAUGUCCUUUGGGGACCAAAAGUGGCUCUGGCUGAGAAACACUGAGGACAUGCGGAGAGCAAGAAAGAGGGAAAUCUCCUCCUAGGGUUCGAGGCAGAGUGGUGGCCACUGGGUGGUGGCAUAGGGCUCACUGGGCAGCAUCUGAACCCGAGAAUUAGGAGCCCUACAAGACCUCUUAAUGCUUCAGACUAGAUGUGGGGUGAACCCCCUCAGCCUUGGGACCUCACAGACAUGUGUCCAGCCCCCACAAGGAACCUGGCUUUUCAUCACUGUACCCUGGGUCCCGUCAGCCUCUCGCAAGCAUCUGUCCCCGGCCGGUCCCCACUGCUUCUGUAACCCUUGCCCCAUAUUUACUGUCACCAUGACCCAAGAGCUUCAUGCGCCAGACAUGGGCACACGCGUGUCCACCGCAUUCAUCUGGCCCUCUUGGGCCCUAAAGGCAGCAGUCGUAGCAGGCCUAGCAAUGGCAGCCCUGGACCUGGCUUCCCAAUUUAGCCACUCUCCCUGCAGCUGGGCUGAAGCUUCUGCAGACAAAUGUCACCAGGUGCUUCCCUUGUUGAGACCCUCAGGGUCCCCACUGCUCAGAGACACCAUCCCAUAUCGCCUUCCUGCUUCCUGUGGCUCUCCAGCCAUACAGGCCCUGCUUCCGAAGCCCCAGGGGUGGCUUCCCUGGGAUCCCCAUUCCAUGCAAUUGCUUCAGCAACUGGGUUGGCAGUUUCCCACCCUUUCCCCCUCAGGGGACUUCCAAACCCCUGAGCCUGGAGCCCCCUUCCUCUCCAGUCUGCCUCCCCCUUGCUCCUUAAAGGACCAUUAUUCAAUCCUACAGGGCCCUGCUUAUACCUCACUCUGAAAGUUUCUGCCACUCACCCACAGCUCUUACCACCGCGCUGAGAACCGCUUAAUUAUCCGCGGGCCAUGCUGGACCGAUGGCCUCCUGCUGUCUGGGAUUAACAGUUGUGUUUCCCACCCUCAGCACACCGCUCAGCACAAACUCAUGCCUAGCAAACACAUGCUCGUGUGUUGGGUUUUUUUUCCAACUAGAUGAUGAACGGAUGGAAAACUGCACAGACAAGUGCAUGUGUGACCUAGGGAAGAGACUGUUGCGUAAGUUGGGUCAUGGGGCUUUGGACUGGGUGUUGAGAGGAAGAGCCGUUCAGGCCUUGAGCAGGAUCAUUGGGUUGGAGGCAUCGUAGAAGAUAAAAGAGGAUGCAGAGGGGUUACAAGGACCUUGAAUGUCACUGUGCAGAAUCUAGACUUAAUUCAGUAGGCGAUGGGGAGCCAUGGAGGGGUUUUAAUCAAGCAAGUGACGUGAUCCCACCUGUGCUGAGGAAGGAUGCCUGUGACUGCAGCAAGGACUGUGGUAGGAGGAAGACCGGAGGCCUGCAGGCUGGCGAGGAGGUUUCCAUCAUGAUGCCUGAGUCAGAGUGGGAAUCACGGGAUGGGUUGGGGGAGAGAAGGCAGAAACUAGGACAAAAACGAAUCUGUGAAAUCUAGAACCUUCCUUUGUCCCUUGCUACUUAACCAGCCAGUUUCCACAACCCUGGAAGCUCAGGAGGAGCCUGAGAUCAGAAAAAGUCUGAUUCUAGCCCCCAGGUAGGCAAGCCAUUGUGGCAAAGCCAUUGCGCUCAGGAUUAUUAACAGAGUAUUACCAUAAUCAAUUUUGUGGUUAACCAGCGACCUAAGUGCCCAUCAUGGUGCAGAGGAAACUAACUUAUGCAUCUUUCUUUCUUUCUUUCUUUCUUUCUUUCUUUCUUUCUUUCUUUCUUUCCUUCUUUCCUUUUUUUCCCCACUCAGCAACCUAACAACUGAGGUUCAGAGGUUCAGAGAGGUGAAGUAACUUGUCCAAAGUCACACAGGCCCCAAGUCAUAAGCCCCGCUUGCAUCAUCGACAGAGCUGGUUGGUGGCAAGCAGACAGUCAAAGCCUGGGGGUUCUCAUGAGGAAAUAAGGAGUCCGUCCCCUCCACGUGAUUGCAGGUAAGGUGGGGCCGGGAGGAAGCAUGGUAGUAAAGAAGCACCUUCAGGCUCUGGAACCUUCUAUACUCAGACCCAGACUAUACUCAGAUGUAGGGAGGCAUGGUCCCCUGUAAGAGAGUCUGGCUUAGGAGUGGGUACUGUUUGUGUCCUUAGCAUUAACAAAACAGGAGCCUCUUAGGGCAAGCAGCAACAUGGGCCCAGAACCCAGGAGCAUCACCUUUGUGCAAAUUAGAGGAGAGUGUGCCCUCCUCCGGGCUCAUGCAGUGCCUUUAGGGCUCCGACUUGUUGAGUGGAGCCCAAAUAGAUUUUAGAUCCUCUUCUCCUCCUGUGCUGAAUGCCCUCAAGACAGUCAACAGCCAGCCCAAGGGCACGACAGCUAUGCCUCCAGCCUCCCUGUUCUAAACCUCUGCCUCGCACAUACAUAGACUCAGGCUGUUGUGCAAGGUAACUUUCCUGUUAGUUUUUACCCUUUCCUUGUGAGAUGAAGUCUAGUAGUGCCCAUUGUCUGGAUGACAAUGUUGAGAUCAGAGCCUGUCCUGUGUAAGGCAGGGGUGGGGUGGGGUGGGAACAUGACCUUAGGCUUUUGUUUUUUGUUUUUGUUUAUUUUUAGAGAUCCCAGUUACAGAACUCAAGCGGCCAAGAAGCAGAGGCAUCCCAUCCAACAUUCCAUCUUAAGGGUGCUCUGAGAAGCUAAAGCUGAUGGAGAGCCUCCUUUGUAUGUGGGGGACAUUCAGGAAACAAGGCUUCAGUUCCUGAGCCUGGACUGAGGUGUUGGUCUCCUCCCAGCCAAGAACGACUGAUGCAGCCUGUCUUGGUUCCCGAGGGAGGGCUGGUAUAACCCUAGCUUGGGUCUCAGCCUAGCCCCCCACCCUCUCCUAGGCUUCCCAGCAAGGGUGCAGUUACAUAAACAGAAACUCAUUCCCCCCCCCCCCCCGGGCUGUAUUUCCAAUGGAUUUUCCUGAUGGAAGAAAACAAGAGAAAAACUCAGAUAAAAGAGGAAAUUUAAUUGGCCAACUCCUUUAUUGGUGUGGUAAAUAAACUGUUCCAAACUUUGCUGUGGUGAAGAUCCCUGUUCCAUCUCCAGCCCGAGGCCUCACAGGGAGUCUCAGAACUCCACAGGAUACGGACACAGAGAACCCCAGAGGGGGAAAGAGGCUGAGGCCCAGCCUCUGUGCAAAAGCAACCAAGCCACACACACACACACACACACACACACACACACACACACACACACUAUACACAUGUACCCAGGGUCACCACAGUUUUUCACUUAACAGCUUUCUCCCCCUGAGAGCUCUGGGGAUCUACCUUAAAUACCUCAUGCUGCAUGGAAGCAAACGCCUUCCUGCUUUGCCUGCAGUCUGAGGACAAGAAAUGGAUCCAUUUUCCCUCACACUCACCCAGCAUACAAUUGGUGAGGCCCGGAUAUCAGGGUGUCUGGGUUCCCAUUCUGCCUUUUGAUAGUGUUUGCCCUGUGACCCCAGAACCCACCCUCCAAU